UACGGGGGGGGCAAGCGUUGUUCGGAAUUACUGGGCGUAAAGGGCUCGUAGGCGGCCAACUAAGUCGGACGUGAAAUCCCCAGGCUCAACCUGGGAACUGCGUUCGAUACUGGACGGCUAGAGUCUGGUAGGGGGAUCUGGAAUUCCAGGUGUAGCGGUGAAAUGCGUAGAUAUCUGGAGGAACACCGGUGGCGAAGGCGGCAUCCUGGACCAUUACUGACACUGAAAAGCGAAAGCCAGGGGAGCAAACGGG
rnacentral:rRNA from 1 species